UUCAUAGAGUGUAAAGGCAUAAGGGAGCUUGACUGCGAGACCUACAAGUCGAGCAGGGUCGAAAGACGGACUUAGUGAUCCGGUGGUUCCGCAUGGAAGGGCCAUCGCUCAACGGAUAAAAGCUACCCCGGGGAUAACAGGCUUAUCUCCCCCAAGAGUUCACAUCGACGGGGAGGUUUGGCACCUCGAUGUCGGCUCAUCGCAUCCUGGGGCUGUAGUCGGUCCCAAGGGUUGGGCUGUUCGCCCAUUAAAGCGGUACGCGAGCUGGGUUCAGAACGUCGUGAGACAGUUCGGUCCCUAUCCGUCGUGGGCGUAGGAAAUUUGAGAGGAGCUGUCCUUAGUACGAGAGGACCGGGAUGGACAUACCUCUGGUGUACCAGUUGUCGUGCCAACGGCAUAGCUGGGUAGCUAUGUGUGGACGGGAUAAGUGCUGAAAGCAUCUAAGCAUGAAGCCCCCCUCAAGAUGAGAUUUCCCAACUUCGGUUAUA
rnacentral:rRNA from 1 species